GGCGCGCAAAUUACCCACUCCUGACACGGGGAGGUAGUGACGAAAAAUAACAAYRCGGGACUCUUACGAGGCCCCGYARUUGGAAUGAGUACACUUUAAAUCCUUKAACGAGGAUCUAUUGGAGGGCAAGUCUGGUGCCAGCAGCCGCGGUAAUUCCAGCUCCAAUAGCGUAUAUUAAAGUUGUUGCAGUUAAAAAGCUCGUAGUUGGAUCUCGGGUGCCGGCGGGCGGUGCGCCGUUCGCGGCGUYAACCUGCUCGKAUUUCCGGCCCCACUUUGCCGGUACGCCGCCCGUGCCCUUGACUGGGUUGCGGAGCGGUGACUGGGACGUUUACUUUGAAAAAAUUAGAGUGCUCAAGGCAGGCGGCUCGCCUGAAUAAUGCUGCAUGGAAUAAUGGAAUAGGACCUCGGUUCUAUUUUGUUGGUUUUUCGGAACCGGAGGUAAUGAUUAAGAGGGACAGSCGGGGGCAAUCGUACUGCGGCGGGAGAGGUGAAAUUCUUGGACCGCCGCAAGACGAACGAAGGCGAAAGCAUUUGCCAAGGAUGUUUUCGUUAAUCAAGAACGAAAGUCAGAGGUUCGAAGACGAUCAGAUACCGUCGUAGUUCUGACCAUAAACGAUGCCGACUGGCGAUCGGCGGGAGUCGGUCAAAGUGACCCCGCCGGCAGCCCACCGGGAAACCAAAGUCUUUGGGUUCUGGGGGAAGUAUGGUUGCAAAGCUGAAACUYAAAGGAAUUGACGGAAGGGCACCACCAGGAGUGGAGCCUGCGGCUUAAUUUGACUCAAC
rnacentral:rRNA from 1 species